CAUUGAAACAGCUGAUGGCGAAGUUCACCUUCCUGUUGUGCAUGGUUUCCUUCCGGAGAGUGGCUGACGUUCGGACAUUCGAUAAGGACGCCUUUUCCAUUGGCCCCGCAGGAGUCACGUUUCACAUAUCAUGACGCACUAAAUCCAACUCAACAUCAGUUUUCUAUCCGUUCUUCAAUUCAGACCCCCAACUGUGUGUGGUUCGG